UCAUGGUCGGGCCAGGUACGGGCGUGGCUCCCAUGAUGGGCUUCCUGCAGGAGCGCGAGCACCUCGUCAAGUCCGGGAAGAAGCUGGGCCCUGCGAUGCUCUUCUUUGGUUGCCGGCGUCA
rnacentral:SRP_RNA from 1 species